UAUGGAGUGCAACGUGUAUUCACUCAUUCGUGAUAAAGUGAAAUUUCAUUAGUCCUCGAUCGAGUGACGAAUUAUUUAUAGAAAACGCCGGCAAAAGUAGUUCUGGAUUGAAGAUCGGUUCACAAUGACUCACGGAGAACUCUCAGCGCCAUCCCAGCUCCUCUCUAUGGCAAAAUUUGGAGUUUCAUUUUCUGGCGGCGGUACUCGGUCAGCGGCGUUCUGCUCAGGGGUAUUACGCAGAUUGCUACAGAAGGAAGUACAAAUAGAUUACCUGAGCUGUGUAUCAGGGGGUGGUUGCUCAGGCUCCGCCUACGUGGACUGGAAAUACAGACAUGGAAAGAAAGACAACAAGAAGUGGCAUCAGGAGUAUUUUAAC